GAUGAACGCUGGCGGCGUGCCUAAUACAUGCAAGUCGAGCGAACGGACGAGAAGCUUGCUUUUCUGAUGUUAGCGGCGGACGGGUGAUUAACACGUGGAUAACCUACCUAUAAGACUGGGAUAACUUCGGGAAACCGGCGCUAAUACCGGAUAAUAUUUUGAACCGCAUGGUUCAUAAGUGAAAGACGGUCUUGCUGUCACUUAUAGAUGGAUCCGCGCUGCAUUAGCUAGUUGGUAAGGUAACGGCUUACCAAGGCAACGAUGCAUAGCCGACCUGAGAGGGUGAUCGGCCACACUGGAACUGAGACACGGUCCAGACUCCUACGGGAGGCAGCAGUAGGGAAUCCUCCGCAAUGGGCGAAAGCCUGACGGAGCAACGCCGCGUGAGUGAUGAAGGUCUUAGGAUCGUAAAACUCUGUUAUUAGGGAAGAACAUAUGUGUAAGUACCUGUGCACAUCUUGACGGUACCUAAUCAGAAAGCCACGGCUAACUACGUG
rnacentral:rRNA from 1 species